CAGAUACAUGCCCUGAUGGACACACUAAAUACUAACUUUUGGGCUUCUUCAAUACAAGGUGUUGCUUUGCCCAAGUUUGUAUUUAAAUCAUUUUGGGUGACACAAAAAGUCAGAAACAUUUUGUGAGGAUGAAUAGAAAAUUUGGAGGUGGAAGGCAGCCGACUGGGACUCCUUCACUGGCUUGGUCCUGUGUGGUCGUUAUCUUUUCUCUUCUUGCGGGUGCCUCUGUUGUCCACAAUAUCUAUAAGCCUAAUCUUACAUUGCCUCCAGCUGAUGGAGUUGAUGGGACCAAGCAGAAACUAGAUGACAAAGAAUGACCAUCUCCCCGUUUGUGAAUUCUUUUUUUAUUAUCAUGAAGAUGGCCUAGUUUUAAGGCCUAAAAUUUACUAUGUCUGCAAGUAAGCCUGAGAUACAGAGGAUUGUUCUCUUCAUAUUGUUACUUUAUAUUAUAUUAGUUCGGAUGGAGAAUUUUAAUUCUUUUUUUGGAAUUUUGUUUGUAAGGACUGAUGUGUUAGGGAUCAGCACUCUUGUGACCAGGGAAAAAUAA